GGCUUUCCAUCUGGAAGAAGUCUGGAGACAGGUGCUGCAUGGCUGUCGUCAGCUCGUGUCGUGAGAUGUUGGGUUAAGUCCCGCAACGAGCGCAACCCUUGCCUUUAGUUGCCAGCAGUUCGGCUGGGCACUCUAAAGGGACUGCCGGUGUUAAACCGGAGGAAGGUGGGGAUGACGUCAAGUCCUCAUGGCCUUUAUGACCAGGGCUACACACGUACUACAAUGGCCGAUACAAAGGGCAGCGACACUGCGAGGUGAAGCCAAUCCCGUAAAAAUCGGUCUCAGUCCGGAUUGGAGUCUGCAACUCGACUCCAUGAAGUUGGAAUCGCUAGUAAUCGUGGAUCAGCAUGCCACGGUGAAUACGUUCCCGGGCCUU
rnacentral:rRNA from 1 species